UCUCUUACUCCCCUCGACCUGUCCACAGCCACCUCCCACCUUCUCCACAGCCAUUUUAAACAUCCUUUUUUUUUUUUUUCUCUGCGGGUCGCCAUAAUUGGCGAAGCUUUAAUUGCACCCCCGGCCCUUCCUGGUUCCAGCACGAUCCUGGGACCCUCAUUUCCACCUUCCCGACGGUUCCCCGGGGCUAAGCCGGCCCUGGCUCGGCCGCGGAGCCGGCCCGGAGCGCCCGUGGCUGCGGAACCGCGGGUGGGCAAAGCCCGGCUGCGAGCAGCGCGUGUUGACAGGAACGAGCCGGAGACGGGCAAACCCAGACCUUCGGAAACUUAGUGACUUGAGGGGGAUGCGGCGAAGAACUCGCUCCAAAUUUCCUCGGGUGAUCCCCGGCCCGCUGCAGCCUCCCUCCCGUCGAUGCGACCGCCCCCCCGGAGGGGCUGCUCGAGCCGUUCCCACCCGCUCCCCCCGCCGCCUCCCCGCUAAUGAGCGUGUGUGUUGACACGGCGAGGCGAUGCCCCCGUUUGCUUUUGUUUGGGAGGUGUGAAAGAGGGAAUCUGCAUGAGAAAAGCCGGCGGCAACCGCGGAGCUCCGCAUAGCAGCGGCGGGACGGAGCGAGCCGGGUCCGAACCUGAGCCUGCCCUGGAAAGCUGGGGGGUUUAAACCCGGCAGAGGCAGGCUCGGGUCUUUGGCUCUCAAAUGCUUUGUACGACUUCUCCAGACUUCAGGGACAGAGCUGAGAGCAGCCCCAGCCCCGGCUCCGAAUUCAUUCUGGUUGGUGCCUGCGAGGAGAUUGCCAGGGAGAGCAGAAGGCUGCACCUCUGAACUCCUUGGGCACAGCUCCUACAGCUCCUCUCCUUGUUUUCCCUCCCAUCCCAAACCCCGUGCAAGCCUUUGGCUGGCUGCACACCUCAGCACCAAUCCUGCCGUGGGCUUGGUACGAUUCCUUUACAAUUUUUAUUUUUUUUCCCCCUACAGAAACAUAAGGGAUAAACACAAUAAUUUCCAAGAAGCAAAAGCUUCCCCCUGGAGAAGCCAACAGGGACCCGGGGCAGAGUCCUGGUACGGUGUGGCAGUGACACUGAUUCCAUCUGACACCUGGGUGUCUCCAAAGCCUUCACAUUGUGUGCUGCAAAUGUAUAUUAACAUUAGUAUGCAUUGGCACAAUAUGGAUCCAUUAUUCCAAAUGCUUAUGAGAACUAGGUGCUGCCUAGGAGCAGCUGCUGCUUUUUAAGCCUCAGAGCCUCAAUAGAUUCAUAGAUUUUAGGGCCAGAAGGGACCCCGGCGAGCGAGGAGUCUGACCUCCCACGGAGUGUGAGCCGGGGGUGAUUUUUGCAUCCUGCCCCACAACCUGUGGGCAGGCAGCACCUCCCCUGCGGCCGGCUGCCAGCUGAGGGUUGAUGUCUCCCUCUGUAAAUUUGUUCCCUUGUUUUACCGCUCUCCUCGUUAAUCCGAAAAGGGCAGAUUUUAAUUUCAAAGCUCGGCUUGUGUAGGUCCAGCUUUCCACCUCUUGGGUUGCCUCCUCUGUAUGAGAAAACCCAUUUUCCCCCUUUUGUUGAAGUAGCAGCGAUGUUGGAGAAAAGAAAAAAAAAAUCAAUGUCCUGGAAUGUCAUCUGGAAAAAGGAUUGGUACUUCUUAAGGGUGGAAAUGGUACCUGGCAAGUGUUCAAAUUUUGGGUGAUUCCCUGACUGUAAGCACUUCAGCUUUAGCCUUUGUUUAAAAAAAAAGAAAUCUGCAUUUUGCAGAGAGGGGUGAUGCUGGAGGACUUUGGGUUUAUAGUGCUUCCAGAAAAUAAAAGAGAGAAUGAAAACCCAUUAAAUCAACGAAAUAAAAAGAGCUGAAAGUCCU